GGAGUGGAACUGACCCCACCCGUGACUUUCCGGCUGCGAAGCGGCUCCGGUCCCGUCUAUGUCAGCGGCCAGCACGUGUCCCGUGAGUGUCCCCUGAGUGUCCCCAACUCCCCUCGGGUGUCCCGUGAGUGUCCCCUGAGUGUCCCCAACUCCCCUUGAGUGUCCCGUGAGUGUCCCCUGAGUGUCCCCAACCCUCCCCCGAGUGUCCUGUGAGUCUCCCCCGAGUGUCCCUGUCCCUCCUCGGGUGUCCCCUGAGUGUCCCCCGAGUGUCCCCAACCCUCCCCCGAGUGUCCUGUGAGUCUCCCCGUUCCCCCUCGGGUGUCCCCGAGGUCCGGGGGCUCAGCCGGGCUCUCCCGCCCGCAGUGACAAACUUCAGCUCGGAGGAUGAGGAAGAGGAAGUAGUAGAGGAGACCCCCGAGAAGCCCCCCAAGGCCUCGAGUGCCCGGAAAGGCGGCGCUGCCAAGAAAAGGAAGCUGGAAAAGGAGGAUGAGCUCAGGAACAGCCUGGCCCGUGAGGAUCCCCUUCCCCCCAAGGGGCGCGGGGCCGGCCGGGGAAGGAAAGCAGCACCGAAGAAAUAAUGGGAAUUCCAUCGGAACCGGGCCAGGUGAGCAUUGGCAUGAGCAAUCCCGGAGCUCGGAGAGCCCUGGGGGGCGGCUCCGUCCCCACCGCGGGUUCUCCAGGCCUUCCCUGCGGGUAAAUCCCAUUUUUCCCUCCUUCCCUUCCAGGUGCGGCCGAGGCUGGAGCAGCAGCAGCAGCCGGUGGUGGUGGUGGUGUGGUUCCCAAAUAAAGCACAUUUUGCACUCCUGGCUCCCCGCGCUGCUGCCGGGGGGGAUUUGGGGGCACCCCCCACCCCGGCUGGAGCUGCUGCCCUGGAUUUGGGGGGGCCAGCGCUGCCCCCCGGCCGUGGGGUGCCGUGAGAAGGGC
rnacentral:lncRNA from 1 species